rnacentral:rRNA from 1 species
AUUGAACGCUGGCGGCAGGCCUAACACAUGCAAGUCGAGCGGAUGAAGGGAGCUUUCUCCUGGCUUCAGCGGCGGACGGGUGAGUAAUGCCUAGGAAUCUGCCUGGUAGUGGGGGAUAACGUCCGUAAACGGGCGCUAAUACCGCAUACGUCCUGAUGGAGAACGUGGGGGAUCUUCGGACCUCACGCUUUCAGAUGAGCCUAGGUCGGAUUAGCUAGUUGGUGGGGUAAAGGCCUACCAAGGCGACGAUCCGUAACUGGUCUGAGAGGAUGAUCAGUCACACUGGAACUGAGACACGGUCCAGACUCCUACGGGAGGCAGCAGUAGGGAAUAUUGGACAAUGGGCGAAAGCCUGAUCCAGCCAUGCCGCGUGUGUGAAGAAGGUCUUCGGAUUGUAAAGCACUUUAAGUUGGGAGGAAGGGAAGUAAGUUAAUACCUUGCUGUUUUGACGUUACCAACAGAAUAAGCACCGGCUAACUUCGUG